AGUGAACGCUGGCGGCAGGCCUAACACAUGCAAGUCGAACGGCAGCACAGUAAGAUCUUGCUCUUACGGGUGGCGAGUGGCGGACGGGUGAGGAAUACAUCGGAAUCUACUUUUUCGUGGGGGAUAACGUAGGGAAACCUACGCUCAUACCGCAUACGAUCUACGGGUGAAAGCAGGGGAUCUUCGGACCUUGCGCGACUGAAUGAGCCGGUGUCGAUUAGCUAGUUGGCGGGGUAAAGGCCCACCAAGGUGACGAUCCGUAGCUGGUCUGAGAGGAGGAUCAGCGACACUGGAACUGGGACACGGUCCAGAGUCCUACGGGAGGCAGCAGUGGGGAAUAUUGGACAAUGGGCGCAAGCCUGAUCCAGCCAUACCGCGUGGGUGAAGAAGGCCUUCGGGUUGUAAAGCCCUUUUGUUGGGAAAGAAAAGCAGCAGGUUAAUACCCCGCUGUUCUGACGGUAACCAAAGAAUAAGCACCGGCUAACUUCGUG
rnacentral:rRNA from 1 species